CGUGAUGGUGUGUGAGUGGUAUUUGGUUUGUGUGGUUGGCGGGCUCUUUGCUUGUGCAUUGGACCGUUCACCAACAUACCUUUUCAUUGAAUGCUGCAAGUGCACCAUUUUGCCUUGGGCGACGGGGGGUCCUUAUGUUGGAUUCCGAUUAACGGUAUUGUUGUUGUCCCUUUAAAGAGUGACAUUCGCUCUACUUCCGUAAAAGGAGGUCGAGCGGACCAUGAAACUUGACUCGUUAUCCUCCUGUUUUGUGAAAACAAGCAUGAUAGGGUUGGAUUAUGAUCUCAAGUUGGGCCCUAGGAUACAGAAAGUUGUGUGGGAGUUGAUGWUAAAACGUCGCAAACCCAAAGCGUUGGUACGCUAACGAUGGAUGACAUUCGAGUGUGUUGUGAUUCUUUCCUUCUAGAAAGGUUCAUGCGCGCCGAUGUCGACCAAAGAGUGCUACCUGGUUGAUCCUG
rnacentral:misc_RNA from 1 species